UUCCUGGAGGACUAGUGGUUAGGCUUCAGUGCACUCACUGCUGUGUCCCGGGUUCGAUUCCCACUCAGGAAA
rnacentral:tRNA from 1 species